rnacentral:rRNA from 1 species
GAUGAACGCUGGCGGCGUACCUAAUACAUGCAAGUCAAGCGAACAGACGAGGAGCUUGCUCCUCUGACGUUAGCGGCGGACGGGUGAGUAACACGUGGAUAACCUACCUAUAAGACUGGGAUAACUUCGGGAAACCGGAGCUAAUACCGGAUAAUAUAUUGAACCGCAUGGUUCAAUAGUGAAAGACGGUUUUGCUGUCACUUAUAGAUGGAUCCGCGCCGCAUUAGCUAGUUGGUAAGGUAACGGCUUACCAAGGCGACGAUGCGUAGCCGACCUGAGAGGGUGAUCGGCCACACUGGAACUGAGACACGGUCCAGACUCCUACGGGAGGCAGCAGUAGGGAAUCUUCCGCAAUGGGCGAAAGCCUGACGGAGCAACGCCGCGUGAGUGAUGAAGGUCUUCGGAUCGUAAAACUCUGUUAUUAGGGAAGAACAAAUGUGUAAGUAACUAUGCACGUCUUGACGGUACCUAAUCAGAAAGCCACGGCUAACUACGUG